rnacentral:rRNA from 1 species
UACGUAGGGUGCAAGCGUUAAUCGGAAUUACUGGGCGUAAAGCGUGCGCAGGCGGUUGUGCAAGACCGAUGUGAAAUCCCCGGGCUUAACCUGGGAACUGCAUUGGUGACUGGCAGGCUUUGAGUGUGGCAGAGGGAGGUAGAAUUCCACGUGUAGCAGUGAAAUGCGUAGAGAUGUGGAGGAGUACCGAUGGCGAAGGCAGCCUCCUGGGCCAACACUGACGCUCAUGCACGAAAGCGUGGGGAGCAAACAGG